AUGGUUGUACUGUAUAACAAAUAUUGGUUAAUUAAUUUUUCUUUUCAACUCAUAAUUAAUAGAAAAAUAUUGAAAUAACCAGAUAAGCACAUGAUCUGCUGGAUUUUCCCCUUGAGCUAGAUCGAUAUAGCUCAUUAAAUAUUCCAAACGAGAACAAAUUAAAUAGUUGAGCAAAUUUGCUGUGGCAGCAGAUCAUGCCACUCAUGGAAUCUGAUAGAUCUUUUUGAAAGAAUAAGACCAAAUUUCCAUGGGAUCAUCAAAUCAAAAAUAAAUUGAUAAGAAGUACGUACAGCAUAGGAAAACAUUAGCGCAUGGAAUCAAGAAAGGGUUUUCACUUGAUUCUACAUCAGAUCAAGCCACACUAAAACAGUAGCGCAUGUAGCUUAAGCUUGUGUGUAGUUAACCCGCAAGUCCCUUGCAUACUACUAGCCCGAAAAUGAAGGUUCCAAACUGAGAGAAAAUAAAACAAACGACCAAGCUAGCUACAAACCAAUACUAUAUGUAGCUAUAAGCAGACGAAAACACAUUACUGAUGGAAUAUAAAAUUAUUCAAAAAUGCGUACAAAACUGGAGGGGAAAAAAUUUAAACUAGUAGCAGUAGUAGUGUACAUUAAGGGGUUUAACAUUGAAUAUAAAAAGUUAUUUCAGAUCAAACAUAUAUGUAUUGCUAUGUUAUACAUCGUUAUUAUAUAUAUUGCUUAAUUCUUGGGAGGAAAGAAUAUAUAUUAUAUUGCUCUGACCAGCCGCAAGCAACAAAAAAGUGACAUGCGAUAUGUACAACCUUUCUAACGUCACUCUAUCCCUAACAUCUAUAACUCCCACACACCAUCCUUUCUUCUCAUGAAAGGGCUGCUGGGAAACGCAGUCCCCAUGAAAACAGUGGGUGCCUCUUUUGGUUGGAAGAAAUACCACUUUGUGUCGAAGGGGAGCCAGACUUGCAAAUAUAAUUAGUGAAGGGGAUCUAGCUUCAAAUCUUCGAAUUAAAUGAUGAUCAUAUGGAGGAUUUUGGAGUCAUCGCCGCUGGCCCAAAUAGCGAUGGAACCGAGGUUUUUUCCCCCUUAAGGUUUCCUUUACCACUACAAUUUUCAACUUACAACAUUUGAAACGAAGAAGGAAAAUAAUUAUAAAAGGAUCUUUGCUGAUCCACGAGUAGGAUGAAGAUCACAAUUCUACACAUGAUGGAAAUUUUUGCAUUUAUGCUUUAGGAAAUCAGUUGGAUACCCCCUUGAUCUACAUAAUUACUGGGAGAUUUGGGCGAUCCAUGAGUAGAAACAUGCCAUGAAUAAUGCACUCCGGCUUGAUGCUUAAUAAUAAACACAUCCUAACAGGGGAAUAUAUCUCUUGCACGCAGCUCUUAGUUUUGCAAGAUCGCUUAUGGAGAGUUAGAGACACGGCCGGAAUUAAUCUGAAUGUUUUGCAAGAUGAAUUGAAGAUCGAUGUGUAGAAGGAGCUCGAACUCAAAGCUGCGCAUGAGAUAAGGUGAGUCCAUGACCAGCUUGAGGAAUCGACAUCGUCUAUAGCUAGAUAAGGGACAUGGAGCAGAGCGAGGGAUCACAUCGAAACACCACACCAACAUGUCUGUACAUGAUAACGGCUUGCGGCCUUCUUCUUUAGUUAAUCAAUCGAUCGGUUGAUCGAUCGAAGUUACAUACUCUCAUAUGAACAAAUUAAAGCCCAGAUCAACAAAGUUUAGGGAUCUUCAGGGCUGCAACCGAUCGAACUAGCUAGGAAGUCCGAUCUGAUUGAAAGAAAGAGAAACUACAGGAAAAGAAAGAGAAGGAUUAAUAAUUAAGACACGCAAGCACGUCGUCGAUUCGCCGAGCCCUAGCUGCUCGCUCCUCCGCCAGCCUGCUACUCCUCCUGCUCCGGCGCCGGCUCGUUGAGGUCAAAGGGGAAGACGGGCAUGGGCGCAGCAGCAGGCGGCACGGCGGCGGGCGGCUGCUGCCUGGAGAGAGAGAAGCACCCCAUCUUGCCGCUGUGGCUGGCGCGGUGGCCGCCGAGCGCCUGGCGUGUCUCGAAGGGGGCCCCGCAGCGGUCGCAGGCGUAGCGGUACUGCUUGCCGUCGGCGGCGACGGGCGGCAGCGGGCGCGGCGGCGCCAUGCCGCGCCAGUCGCGCUCCGGGUGGCUGCGCUGGUGGCCAUGGACGGCUUUCACCGCGUCGAAGAGGCGGUGGCAGAUGGGGCACGGGUAAGGCCCCGCUGCCUCUCCCCCUGCUGCUGCUGCAGCUGCAGGGUGGUCUUUCUUGCGGUUGCGGGACGCCGCCGGCCUCUUCUUGCGCAGGGCCGCCGCCGGGGCGGCGUCGGCCUCGUGCGCCGACUUGGGGCGCCACGGGCGGUUCGGCUCGUCGCCGCCGGGGCCCCCACCCACGCCGGCGAGGAACUGGCCGUAGGCCACGCCGUAGAAGAACACCUGAGCUCCGUUCAUAGAAGGACUUGCGCGUGCAACGGCAGACAGACAGUGGACUGCAGUGGCUGCUUCUUGGUGAAGGUGUACGGUGUGUGACUGAGCACGAGUGCAGAGAGGUGGUUUCUAUAUAUAGGCUCUCCGUGGCCUGCACGGCCGUGUCAAGCGGUGGCUCCUUUCUCCCUAGCUUCCUCCUUUGGACGUAUCCAUUACUCUCCACACAUCCUUUCUCUGUCUCUUGCUCACUAAACGCUGCUUCUGCAACUUUAUUUAAGGGCGACCCCUCACGGUUGCCAUGACAACUCACACUUGAAUUCUGUCUGCAUUUAGUUGGUUGACAAGCAAGGAUAUGUGGCCGGCGCGCGGAAGGCCAAUUCACAGUCACACUUUGUACCUAGCGACUCUUUUCCACCGAAUCGCCGGGUGUUUUUUCUUUGUUGUUGUUGGGAUCAGCAAUCAUCGGCUGCAAAGAUAAGUAAAAAUGACAAUCAAUACUGAAUGUGCUUAAGCUAUGCUGUAUGUACCUAUUUGUUUUGGCUUUUCUAGGCAUAUAGCAUUUGCUACAUAUCGAGACAUAAUAUAUAUCUAGGUGUAUAACAAAAAUUAUGUAUCUAGAAAAACUAAAACAAAUAGCAAGUCGAUCUCUUGUUACUUCCACGUACACCUCUAGCGUAGUACUCCCGGCCGGAGCUUGCUUACCCUCAAAGUCUGAAACAAAAAGGUCAGAGGAGAGAGAAACAACAAAAUAAAAGAUCAAGCUAAAAGCCAAUAUAAGCAGACGAAAGCUUCUAGUACGUGAUGUUAUGGAACCCAAAGCCUUGUUUCCCUAGGUCAAAGGCAUAUGUCAGCGUGGACUGCACAUACAAAACUUAAUUGCUAAUAAGAGCAACCCAAAAAACAAAGAAAGAUCAAGGGAAAAAAGAACAGUAAUGAUGUUAAUUGUAGUUAGUUAGACGACAUGCACUGUUUAGUUGUAGUUAGGAGAGUACUUACCGUAUAUCUUGCUUUAACUGGUCACAGGCAAUAAAAAGGUGUGAUAUCAUGUAAGUACAACGUCAGGCUAUCCCUAACAUUUAUAGGUUUUGUUGCUAUACGUACAGUUUGACUCCGAGACAAGGCAAAGGUUUACUGAUCCGUAGCAUUUUAUCACUUUGCUUCCAAGGAAAAAAUGAGCAUAAUUGAGAAAGUACUAAGCCCUAACUUGAGAGUUGAGAAGUAGUUAGUGAAGAGGAGCUAGGAAAAAUCUUUGAAUCAAAAUGAGGGCAUCAGCAAGUCAUCCCCCAAACAGAGGUGGAAACAAAACCAGGAGGGGUUUCUGCUUAAAUAUCCCUUUAGAACCAUAUAUAUAAAUCUCAACAUACCUUUUAAAACAAUUCAGGAGAAAUCUGAACUGUUACAUAAAACAAAUCCAAAUUGAAACAUUGUAUGUAUAGUAAGAACCCGGCAAAUUUUGUUCAUGAUCAAUUUUUUUGGAAUUGUACAUUAGGAAAAAAGAUCACAACCCUUGUACAUAAAUAAGUAGAUUUUCUGAUCCAUGAGUAGCAACAUGUGUCAUAAAUACACACCGAUCUACUCAAUAAAUGUCUCCUCCUGGGAGCGGAUUCUCUCUCUCCUGCUGUGGCUAGCAGAGACCAGCCUACAGAUCGCUCAUGGAGACACGGAAUAUGAAUGUCUUGCACCAUCAAGAUUGAGAAGAAUCAAGCUCAAAGCAGCAUUCGAGAAAAACAAGAUGGGUCCUUCAUUUUUUUUGAACAUAAAUGGCAGGAGCUCUGCCUUUCAGUUAAAUAUGUAGUAUUAAGAGAGAAAUUGCAUAAAGUGUUUAGAGAAGUACAUGGCGGCACUUCAGGUACGGUGUACAACAAUGCUCCCAGGACAAAAAUAUCCUAAUUUUAACGUAAAGCAAAGAGACAUUGCCUCGAAGGUUUGUUUUCUUUUUCACUGAAAAUACCCAAUCAGCAACCGGGCAAGUAAAAUACAAGCUAGAGGAUGAGGAAGCCAUAAUGUUUGAUUGGAUAACACGCAAAAUCACAUGCAUAUAUAUGGAACCCGACAAAAACCUACUUUAUUAGAUGAGGUUGUGCGACUAUCCAAGAUACACACCAAUAGCUACGUAUGUCAUGCAUACUAUCGGACAAAAUCAGACUUAUCGGACACAUAUGUCAUAUUUAGAGCUUUUCAAGCAUGACGCCAUGACGGCUAACACCAUGCACACCAAUAGCUGUGUACGCCAUGCAUACUAUACGACAAAAUCAAACUUCUCGAGCACAAAUGUCAUAUUUAGAGCUUUCCGAGCAUGACGCCAUGACAGUCAUGAAAAGGCAAAUUAUACACGCCAAUAGCUAUGUACACCGUGCAUACUAUCCGACAAAAUUAGACUUAUCGAGCACAUAAUAUAAAUAUUGUAUUUAGAGCGUUUCGAGCGAGCAUGACAGUUGACACCAUAAAAAAGCAAAUUGAAACAUCGCGUCUAGAGACUUUGAGAACGAUGGUUAACAUCAUGACAAAACAUACUAAAAUCCAUGACAGUGAAUACAAUAACAAAGCAAUUGUUCGAGAACAACCCGAUCACAAAAUCGUUGGUCAUUUAAUUAGUCAAAAAAUUACAGAUAGUUGUUUUUCUGUUUUUUCCUAGGCUUUUAUUUUGUCAGGGCAAUACUUUGACAGACAGUCACUCCACCAAUAUUUUAUUUAUGCGGUGCAAAAUUAUAAUGAUAAAUAAAAUGGAUAUACUAGUGCCACGAGCCCACGAUUGUAAAAAUUUUGGGGGAACGGUCAAUUACUUGGUAUGCCAAUUAUAGGAGAGGAAGGGAUUCAUUUUUAGAAGGAAGCGUGGCCGUGGGGCCAGCUGCCAAGCAAGCAUCGUCCGCGAGGGCUCCGUGGCCUAGCUGGUGAACCAUCAGUUGAAGCGCCACUCUGUCGAAGCGCGGCGCUGGCAGACGGGGCACACGUGCUCCCCUGCCGGUGGAAGGUCGUCGAUCUUCUUCGUACCGGGUGCCGCCGGCUUCUGCUUUUGCGCUUGCAGGGCCGCCGGGAGGCCGUCCACCUCGUGCGUCGACUUGGGGCGGUUUGGCUUAUCGUCGCCACUACCGCCGGCCGCUCAUGCUAGCAACCUCUACGUCAGCCGUUGCGCGUGCAAUGCAACAAAGGGUCAGAUCGACAGGCUGCAGUGUGUACUGUGGCUGGGGUACGUCUUUCUUUGCAAAGUUCUGCAUUACUCCAUAGCUUCUCUUGACGUUAUUUUUCCCUAGCAUCAUAUAUAUCUACUAUACGUGGCUGCUAUUUCGACUCCAAGCUGUACGUGACAAGGCGAUGACUCGGCAACACGACUAUACAUAUAUCACUUUGCUUCAAGACAGAACGAAAAACAAGUCCUACGUACAAUCUUUUCCCAUUUAAAAUUAUUAAGGGCUGCUGGGAAAUACUCAAACUUUUACAUAAUAAAACAAAGUCCAAGUUGAAACAUUGUAGAAAGGCUUUCAUUUUGCCCCGCCACCCUGCUAGUGUAUCAGUAGUCUGCAGUUGUUGAUAUAGCAAACUGCUAAACAUUGGGUUCAGGUGUCGGUCAUAUAUAUCUUCAUGCUUGGCAGAUGUUAUAUGACCAUCUGGACUGAUCAGUGCUAAAUUUCAUAAAAAAACAUUCAAAAAAAUAAAUUUCUUAAACUUUCUGCUAAGGUGGUAUCCGGGUAGGUUCAAUAUUAUUUAUUUUUCACUGCCAAGGCAAGAUAACAUAGAGGUGCUUUGCUUCUUGCUCAAAGAUGUUUUCUUCCUCCAAAAACAUCCGAUCAUCAACCAGGAUCACGAAACCCUAAUAGGAAAUGCGCAAGUUCAAUGGGAUCGGCUGAAUAACACAUACACAAUAUACAUGCAUGCAUACAAAAUACGACGAAAACCUACUCUAUUUAUCUAUUUCUUGUUUACAAUUAGGUUGGACGGCGGACACCCAAGCUGCCCCACCAAUAGCUCCGUGCCGGGCAUACUAUCCGACAAAAGUAGGCUUUUAUUGAGCAAAUAUGUCACUUUUAGAGCUUUUGAAUGACGGUUAGCGCCACGACAAAGAAAAUAAAAAUGUCGCAUUUCAAGAUUUUGUCGAUGGCAGUUAAUGCCACGACAAGAAAAUUAACUACCAUCGACAGCAACCCGACAAAAUCAAUGGCUCGACAGCAACCCGACAAAAUCACAGGAACAUAAGAGUUCCUCGCGAUUGGUCAAAUAAUAAGUAAUACAUGCAUAAGGAACCCAACAAAAACCCACUUUAUUAGUCUAUUGCUUCUUUUUAGAGAGAUCGGGCAGACACUCAAAGCUGCCUACCAAUAGCUCUGAAAGUCUUGUAUACGAUAUGAUGAAAGCAUACUUGCGCAGUAUGACAAUUAACUCCGUGAAAAAAGCAAAUAGAAAUGACAAAUUUAGAGAUUUCAUGUAUAUGAAAGGUCAAUGCAUGGUGUAACAAAAGCAAAUUAAACUCAACGACAAGAAAAUAUAUGUUGUGAUUAAUUGUUUCACGACAAUCCGACCUAAAAAUGUUACUUGUCUAGCCAAUCCAUUAUCUUUAUACAAAUGACAAUAACGCAGAGUUGCAAGACGCGACAUACUAUAUUUCCUUUUUCCUUAUAUUGAAGGCCCUAUGUAUAAAUGCCAAAGUAAUAAGCCCUAGUACUAGCCACCAUGAAGAUUGGUAAGUCUUAUGUUCACGAAACUCUGCAUAAAAUUUGCUCGAAAGUGAUUUUCUGUUGAUAUAGAUAGUUCAUAGUAUACAUGAAGCACUACAGUUAUCUAUGUACAAUUCAGCUUGUUUACCUAACAACAUUAGAAACAGUAAACUGCAUAAAAAUCCCUCAUCAUUUAAUUUGAAAGAACUGAAAAAUUGAUCCUCAUAUAUAGUCAUCCAUGGCAAUCAAAGAAGAAUAUUAUUCUGUUUAUGAAUCCUUGUAUAACAGCACAGCUGGAAUUUAUUACCACACUGAAGCAAUGCCGUUUAAUAUAAUCCUUGCGUUGUUGUUUGUCUUAAUUAAUUUGUUGCUUGGUCCAGUUUACACUUUACAUCGAUCUGGAUGUAGCUCGGGACGAUCACUAAUUUUGCCUUCAGUUCCAAAUUAUAGGUCAUCUUGGUUUUAUUAGAUUCAUAAACCACCUAGAUAUAUCCUAUGUUUAAAUGCAUAAUAAUAUCUAUGCAUCUAGAAAAUUCAAAACGAGCUAUAAUUUGGAAGGGAGGGUGUAGAUCUGUUGCAGUAAUGUGCACAAGUCUGAGCCUGACUGACAGUGUGUGUUUUGAAACUUGGAAGAAUAUUUUCAAUCCACACCUGGGCCUCUAUUGGGCCUUCGCACGGUCGGUCGGGCUUAAACAUCAGUAGCUAGCCUGGUUGCAAGUAAGUAGGCUGGGUAGUGGGAAAAGGGAAAAAAAGGUAGAAAUGCUGGGCUGAAAUUUUUGCAUGCCCAUUCCUCGCAGCUGUCUGCGCAAAAUGUUUUUUUUUCCAUCAGAAGAAAUACCGUAUGACUAGGGUACGCUAGAAAUGAUAACAUACAAGUAUCGGUAUUUCUCUCUGUAAAAAAUAAAUAAAAAGGACGCCGUAGUGCCUACACGAGGACAGCACAAUUGCUGGGCAUUUUAUACGGCGACGAUACGAUACGAGUCACGUACCGACCGGACAAAGGGGUGCGGCUCCAAAUAGCUCCGGCUCCUUAUGAUAUUUUAUUGUUCACGUGCUGUUGCAAUCUUGUUCACGCGAAUUCAUGUUUCUCUCUUUUCUCCCUCCCUCUCGUAGAGUCGGUGGAAUCAGUUUUUAUGGCUCCUCCCGUUCCAGCUCGUUUGACGCUACAUUUGACGCUACAGUAGCUCGUCAGCGGAGGAGGGGAGCCGGUAAGAACUCCACCGACCUAGCCUAAAGUUGAUCCAUCUAACCUAAUCUGGGAGUGCGAACCCGGCCAUACAGUGACGCAGAUCGUUGUCACAGAGCUAGCAGCUGAUCAUCAAUCCACGGUUCAUCAAAGAGGGGAAAAAAAAGAAAAGAGAAAAGAAGGAGAUGGCUAGCUGCUGAUCCAGAACCGAAAGUCCAAAGAGAGGACGCAAUGUCCCAUACGGCCAUACGCCCAUACGCCCGUACCAUACUCCCACGUCACCAUCAUUUCCUCCGACAUACCACGUCGUAUGAAAGCAAGGGAGAUGCCGCCUCGGUCGCGUCACCAAAUCACAUCUAGAAGAUGCCUCCAUCGCAUGUACUCUUAUCUGCUACUCACUCGAUCGAUCAUUUAAGAAUUAUUAGUUGUGGAUAAAUUAAAAUUGUUUGCAAGACAUGCAUCUGCAUAUGUACUCCUGGUUCUCUUCAAUUCAACCGUAACAACUCUACUAUCCAUAAUCCAUCCAUCCUUUUCCUUUCAAAAGCAGGAGAAAAUUUGAGGGAGGAGAAAGAAAGAAACUCAGCUUAAAAAAAAUAUUGCUAUUACUAAAAUUUAGAGAGUGCUAAAGUUUAGACCAUUUAAAGUUUAGCACUCCAUUCAUUACCACUCCUGUUUGGAGAUAUGACUAGUGGAUAGAGGUAAAACCCAUGAAAUGUCACUUUGACUCCUUUAUCUCCUCACCUCCCCUUCCUCUCCUUUUGAUCUUUUCACAAGCCAUUAGCACUCAUUAGCAUCUCCCUACCAGCUAAUGUUUUUUUUCCAUCUUUAGGGUGGGCUAAAGUUUAGCCCUCCCGUUUGAAUGGGUUAAUGCAUAAAGAUGCUAAACUUUAGCACUUUUAUUUAUUGGCGCUUGAUCCAAAGAGACCCAAAAGAAAAAAAAUCCAGCAGGAAGAUGGAGGAGCAAACAAAAUUAAGGGUAAGUUUAGUAGGGUUCCAGCUCCUUAAAAAGUCGGAGUCAGAAGAGCUAUUUUUUUUCUCCAACUUUUCCAUAAAAAAUAGCUCCGGCUUCUCCAAUACUCUAUGGAUGAAGCCGUUUAUUUGGUAGAGCUACAGUUCGCAUAAGAAACCGAGCUGGAGUCCUGUCUGCCCCUAAAUAUCAAAAAUGCUCGUGGUAAGCACGUACACAACCACACGUAACAGCCACCUCUGUCCCUGCAGGUGGACCCUCUCGCCGACCGGAAAUAGUAAACAAGUCCACGUGGAUGGGGAGGCGAAUCGAGAGCGAGCAGAGCACGAAACCCUCCCUCGUCCCUUAUUUCUUCUUCCUCCUGCCACUCCUCGUCCUUAUCGCCAACCACCAUUGCUCCUUUCCCCCAAGCAACACAACUCCAGGGCCCAAUCCCCGCCGCGAUCCCGGUCGCCCAGCCAUGGAUCCGUACAGGGUGAGUCCUGCCUUUCAUCCAGCCUCCGCCCUCCCUCCUAGAUCCUCAAUUUCGCGCCUUUGUUGCCCCCUCCAUGCGCGCACUCAUCUCACUGACCGGAUUUUCCCCGUCUUUGGUUCUUGCAGCACCGCCCCUCCAGUGGGAACAACUCCAGCUUCUGGACCACCAACUCCGGCGCCCCCGUCUGGAACAACAACUCCGCCCUCACCGUCGGCCAGCGAGGUCGGGACCUGUCGCUUCUGCCUUUCCUUUCCUUCUCUCUGUUUUUGUUCCCCUCCUUAUAUGAACCUGCAGUUGGCAUAUGUACCUCAUGUGGGUGAGCUUAAUUACACGGAUACGUGGUUGUUCUGCGAUGAUCUGGGGCAGCCCUGGGGAAUCAGAGGCUUUUUGGUUGUUUCUCCUUCUCAUCUCAUGACCUGUGGGCUGUGGAAAAUGAACUCUUUAACACUAAACGCCACCGAUUGUGCCUUGCUAGUUGCUAUGAUCAUCCAAAGUUUGCACCUUGAUGCUAAUUUUGCUGUUCCAUAUUGAGUUUUGGUUCGCCUGCUUUAUUAUAUUAUAGAAAUUAAAAGAAAAGGCACUCAAUUGAGUUAUGAUUACUGCCCUGCUAUUCUGUUAAGGUCGCAUUCCUUGAUCAACUCUAAGGCGAAAAACCUUAUAUUUCAGUCUUUUGUGUGGAUAUUUUCGUCAGUCACUGUAACACCAUUAAGUUGCUUAAGGGAAAGAAAGUGCCUUUUUCAAUUCGAUAGUCCAUCAUUCAGUCAUACUGAUAAAAUCUAAGUUGAUGAGCAGUUCCAUGAUAGUAAAGUCAGGGGAGUAGUCAUCAUAGCUGAUUGUUACUGGUAUGGUUCAUUUCCUUUUGACGAUUACCUGGGUAGGGCUGAAUUACUACCAGAGAAGAAACUUACUUGACCCUUGUUCUCCUAUGGUCAACACGGUCAUGGCCAGACGUUGAAAGUGAUUGGAACUCAACUUUGCUUCUUCUGAAUGUCAUUGUCAUAAAAGAAGUACCACAACAAUCAUAGCAUGCAUAUAUGUGUGCUUAUCAUAAACAAUAUGUUCCUAUCAGUGAAACCAGAAAAAAAAACAAUAAAUUCUUUUUGGUUAGGAUUUUUUUGGUCUACUUGCAGCACUUGUGUUUUGGCUUUAUUACCUACCGCGAUGUAUUCUUCUUUGGCAGGACCCAUCCUCCUUGAGGACUAUCAUCUGAUUGAAAAGCUUGCUCAGUUCGACAGGGAACGUAUCCCUGAACGUGUUGUUCAUGCUCGAGGAGCCAGUGCCAAGGGUUUCUUUGAAGUAACUCACGAUGUAUCUCACCUUACAUGUGCUGAUUUUCUCCGGGCUCCUGGGGUUCAGACCCCUGUUAUUGUUCGGUUCUCCACCGUUGUGCAUGAGCGUGGAAGCCCUGAGACCUUGAGGGAUCCACGUGGUUUUGCUGUCAAGUUCUACACCAGAGAGGUACUGAUGAUAAAUCUUAACUUGCAUCCUAAAAAGAUGUAUACAUCUUAACUGUUUUGUUUGUUGUUUUACCUUGAGCAUGACCGUUAUUUUAAAAUUAAAACUAUUGCAAGUUAUGUGGAACAUCUUGGCAAUAUUUUUCUGUCAACAUAUGCACUUAUCAAAGACUGUAAUAUCAAUUUUUUCCCUAUUGUGAUUAUUGCACUGGAGUUACAACAACUUGAAUUGUGCUUAAUCCCUGUAAAUAUCCUUUGCAUGAGCUGCUAUACAGAUGAAAUAAUAUCUUAGAUCCGACCAUUUUUUCUGUUUGAAGGUUUGAUUACCACUACCCCCCUUCCCACUUGUAGGCCUAUGCAAUUGAAUGUUUACCUUGUCAUGAGGGGAUUCUUUUAUGGGGACACGCUGCUGACCUAUUCUUAUGCUGUUCGUUAACUUUCUCCUAGUUUCUGACACCUUAUAUUGACCUUUUUAUAUCCAAGGGAUGGUACUUAAUAGCUUUCACCAUGCUUUUUUUCAGGGUAACUUUGACCUUGUGGGUAACAACAUGCCUGUGUUUUUCAUCCGAGAUGGGAUGAAAUUCCCUGACAUGGUUCAUGCUUUCAAGCCAAACCCAAAGACCAAUUUGCAGGAGAACUGGAGAAUAGUAGACUUCUUCUCACACCACCCAGAGAGCAUGCACAUGUUCACCUUCCUCUUCGAUGAUGUUGGCAUCCCACUCAACUACAGGCACAUGGAGGGUUUUGGUGUGAACACCUACACCUUGAUCAGCAGGGACGGAAAGCCUCACCUUGUCAAAUUCCAUUGGAAGCCUACUUGUGGUGUGAAAUGCUUGUUGGAUGAUGAAGCUGUUACUGUUGGAGGCACCUGCCACAGCCAUGCCACAAAGGAUCUGUAUGAUUCUAUUGCCGCUGGGAAUUUCCCGGAAUGGAAGCUUUACAUUCAAACCAUUGAUGCUGACCAUGAGGAUAAAUUUGAUUUUGACCCACUCGAUGUCACCAAGACCUGGCCAGAGGAUAUCAUCCCACUGCAGCCUGUUGGACGGAUGGUCCUGAACAAGAACAUUGACAACUUCUUUGCAGAAAACGAACAAAUUGCUUUCUGCCCAGCAAUCAUCGUCCCUGGAAUCCACUAUUCUGAUGAUAAGCUGCUCCAGACGAGAAUUUUCUCCUAUGCUGACACCCAGAGGCACCGCCUUGGUCCAAACUACCUGAUGCUUCCUGUGAAUGCACCAAAAUGUGCUCACCACAAUAACCACCAUGAUGGCUUCAUGAACUUCAUGCACAGGGAUGAGGAGGUACUAUGUUCUUUGGCGUUUUUGCCUCCUUUAGAAGGCCAGUCUGCCGGGUCCAUUAUGCAGUUUUGUAACUAUUGACAUAAAUAAAAUGAAAUAUCCAUUGCACUUAUCUAUUUUCCUUCCUUUUUUCAGGUGAAUUACUUCCCGUCGAGGUUUGAUCCUGCCCGUCAUGCUGAGAAGGUCCCUAUCCCUCCCCGUGUUCUGACAGGAUGCCGUGAGAAGGUGAGUAUACUUGGAAGUUACAAGUGUACCAUUAUGUUCCAUACGCUGUGGUGGCUACAUUGUGCUUAGCAAUAGCUUUGUUCUACAGUAUAAUGGUGAGUUUGAAUAAACCAUUGGAAAACUUAUUGUUGAGCUAUAACAUCUAAUCUUUACUGUUGAUCUGCAGUGCAUUAUCCAUAAGGAGAACAACUUCAAGCAGGCUGGUGAGAGAUACCGGUCCUUCGACCCUGCCAGGUUUGCCCUCACACCUGAGUUAGUUUGGUUUAGUAGAGGCAUAGGAAGGGUUUAAGCUGUUGUUUGGCUAAUUAAAGCGUUUUGAUGUGGAAACACACACAGGCAAGACCGGUUCAUCCAGCGGGUGGUUGACGCGCUCUCAGAUCCUCGUGUUACCCAUGAGCAUCGUAGCAUUUGGAUCUCCUACUGGUCUCAGGUAUUCAUUCAUUUUUAUUGGUUUUUGGUGAAAUGCUUGCCAUUUGGGCCAUGUACAACUGUGGAUAUCCUUAUGCUUUGAUCUUGGUACUGAAACCGAGCACGUUUUACCUAUGUGUUGCAGUGCGACGCAUCCCUUGGUCAGAAGCUGGCGUCUAGGCUUAACCUGAAGCCGAACAUGUAGUUUGGCAAGGGCGAAGCAAGCACAAAAAGCGCAGCAAACCGGAGGUGGAUGCAACAUGAAGUGUGUGAUGCUGGGAAUGGUUGUAACAUUGAAUAAAGAGUAAUGGAUGUGAUAGUAGUACGUGUCCUGGGAUGCGAACCAGUGGUGGGUUAUCCUAUCCUGUAACUUUGCCCUGCUUCAUCUUUGCAAGAAAGACAUACACAGAGUACAAGUACAAUAAAGAGGAAUGUGUUGGAUUAUAAUAACAGUGUGGUGCUCUGGUUGUUUGUUCUCUGUUGUUGCGUUGCAGGAUGCUCGGCAUCCAAGAGGUAAGAAAUACAGCAAUGAAUUUACCAUUGGUAUAUUUGAGUUUGCAUUAGUAAUUGAUCCCUGCCUGGAGGCUCUUGGGAUUCGGUAGGAGUUGGACAUGUUGGUUAGUUCUUGUGUGCUCAGGUUGGCGAGAGAGAGAAGCAGCAGGUUGGUCCUGUUGAGAGUGGAGUGAAGUGCAGCAGGUUCCAGAGUUGUUACUGCUGAUCAGGUUUGUAGAGGAAGUGGUCCAGCACGAGGAGGUUGAGCAGCUCGGACGACGGCGUUCCGGAGCUCGCCCAACUAGGCUGCGGAACCCUCUGAAUCUCGAGCGCCGCCGGAAGGGAGCCAUCGCCAUGCGAGGAGGCGGGGGUUUUACGCCGAUUUGGUUCUUAACAAUGGCGGGCUAUGGCUACCACCGCUAGCACCGACAGCAGCAGCAUUCCUGCAGCUGGGAUGGGAGCUGACCUAUGUUCUGAUGGAUUAUAUGGUCAAGUUCGUAACGGCCAAGGCUAAACUGAUCGCUAUCGUGCUGAAUUCUGCGCUUGGUGUCAGUAAGUCAGUGUGCUUGUAAUUCAGUCCUGCCACGAACCGAGUUCCUGAGAUGAACGUGCAUUGCAGCUGCCAUUUCCAAUGGACUCCUUGUACGCAGGCCCCUAUCCGCAAGGCGAUCAUGCCGUAUUGCCGUGAUGACAAUCCUUUAUCUGAACUUCUUUUGACAGGAGAAUUUAUCUGAACUGAUGGAGUGUGCAUUUGAGAUGAUAGGCGCGCCAUGGCCAUCAGAGCUCAGACCGACAACUGUGGUUACAUGUAGCAAAGAAAGUGCUCCAAAAAGAGAUCCUGUUGCUCCACAAUUUUCUCACUAUCUUUCUUUCCAUUGUAACCAGAGCUAUUACUGAAUCGCCAACAAAGCAUUUUCAAAUUUAGAAGGACACCUUGCUACAAUAAGCGGCCUGGAACAUACCCUGACCAAACUAUUCCUAGGUAAUUGGCAGCCAGGUUGACGUCCUUGCAUUUUCAGGUUCACAAACUUCCCCGCCCCUGGAGACAAUUCAUCGGAAACAUUUGGCUUGGUACACUCUUCAGGAACUGUUAGUAAUGCCUUUUUGUUCAUUAGUAAUGUCAUUUUUGGUGCCACCUAAGUGAGACUAACAGCAUCUGUUCACUGUUAGUCUAUUUCGCUCAACUCAUUCAUAGGCAUAACAAUGACCUUCUGUUCUAUGCUUUUUGGUACAGUUCUGAGAUCAAAAGCUUUCCUAUACAUCCAUUUUUUACAACAUUCAUAAACAUCCAUUAUAACUACACAGUGUUCAUAUCACAGGACGUAAGAGUUGAACCUCUUCAUUGAUGUGAAGGUUUAUUCCUUUUGCAAUUCAUACAAGGUACUGGCGUAAUUCUAAAGUGAACAAAAGAAUAGUUAGUUUGUUGCAGAGUAUAAAUCACCUUGUUCAUCAGUUGAUACAAGAAUAGUUACUUUACUAUGCAGAAGAAUGACAAGAUUAUGAAGGCUGAACUAGGUUAGACACACCACUACUCUGUCCAACGCUCUCCUAAUGAAUAACUUAUGCUCCAAAAAGAAAAACAAAACUGGACGAAGAUCUACAUGUCAUUGUUUACUCGCAUAGCAAUGCUGAACAUGUGAGUUGUCAAGAUCUACAUACUUGGACCAGUAUGACUUGUACUUGGAAAUGGCAAGGUCAAGCCAGGGCUUGUAAUUCCCGUUGUAAUGAACUACCGCAGCAUUCUCGAUCUCAGAAAUGUCAACAGCUGGAUCAUAUCCCAGGCCCAAGACAUGCCAAGUACGAUUCAAUGGGUAUGUCAGGUUGUAGAAAGUAAUUAGUCCCGGAGGCAAUGUACCCAGCUUCCACAGCUUGCGAUCCUCAUUCUGCAAAAUGUCUUAUAUUAGUAAGUAAAACAAAAAAAAUAAUUACAAGUUAUUUAUGUAGCAUAGUUGUCAUAGACAGAAUAUACAUGAUGGGAACAUGCGAUUCAAAAAUACAAUCAACAGCAAAUUACUUGUUCCAAUACUUACCAAAUCUUGCCAAUAAUGGUAUAUUACAGUGAUAUUUCGCUUCCUCCACUCUUUCAGGUCAAACAUGUUCAUUCCAAACGCCCACCCACAAGCACGUGGAUCGAAGUUCUCUGAUAUCUUUGGGUGUGAGAAGUUGAGAUAAGUGUCAAAGCGAUGAAAACUCUCUUUACAGGUUUCAACAGCACCAUUUACCAUCCCUUGAAGAUCAACAUCCCAUAGGGGCGUCAAAUCCUUCUGUACAACAAUAUCAUCAUCGAGAAACAGUAUCUUGUCAAGCUUCGGGUGUAUUUCCGGCAUGUAGAACCUUAAAUGGUUGAGCAUAGACAAAUAUUUGGGGUUCCUGUACUUUAGAUUCUCGUUUCCAUCAGAAAGUGAUGAUAGGUCAUGUGCUUUGAAGUAAUAUUCUUUGAGGCGAGCUGACUCAAGUUGCCGCAGAACAGAACAGUACGACGAAUUGAGCCACUUGAAAUUGUCUAUGUUCUCCACAUGAACAGUAGCCAGCUGGGGCGGAUGAGUAAUGAACCACAUCUUCAUGGCUGCAAAAUUAAGUUUGUCGGUGACAAUGUGGAACACAUGCUUCUCUGGUUUAUUGGCAUUUGUCACAGUUGAUCUGACAACUACUGAGGCUGCAAGCACAUUAUCAGAAAAUAUAGCAUAGUGAUAGAGUGACCUAUCCUCAAGCUUUGCUAUAUUUUCUUCCUCCUUCAAAGCAGCAUCAUGAAACUGCUCCUUGGUCACACCAUCACGAAAAUAGUAAUCGGUUGUCAGCUGCAUAUGCAGGCAGUGCAAGGGCAUGGGGACAGUCUUUGCAGCAUGCUGAACCAGGAAUGAAUUUUGUUUCUUCACUGCAUCGAUAUUUAGUUCCGUAGACUGCAGCAUAACACGCAGUUUUCUUGAUACUUCACUCGAGCUGUACAGAACAUCUCUAGCCGAAGACAGCACAUGCCCCAUUGCUUUUGCUCUCUCUAAAGCACUGCAGAAAUGAGGGCUGAUAAGAAACUUAUCCUUUAACACCGAAGCAUAAAAUAGCCAAAUCGAUUAAUCUUCAGAAGUGAAACGAAAUACCUCGAAUCGAGUUCGCUAUCAAUAAGUGCAUCCCCGAUAGCUGUUUGGCUUUGUUUUAUGCACUUCAUGAGCAAAGCAUACAUGUCUGGUUCCUUCUCAGAGAGUGCAAUAGUGGCAUAUAGCUUGGCCAUUAUUAUCUGAUCCUUCAUGAGCCUUAGGGUUGAAUCUGUAUUAAUAAGGCGGAACUCCUGCCUCCAUAUGUUGUAACUGCCCCUAACUUUAUUAUCAAAGUUCCUUGAGCUGUUUAUCGCUGCAUUUUGCAUCUCAAGUUCAACCUUCUUAUCCAUCUGAAGCAACUCCUGGACCCUCUGCACCUUUCUUCUACGCCGAAAUACCUGAAGAAGCAAUAGCAGCACACCAAAUCCACUCAGAUGGUCAGAAUUAACACACCAGAGAGUAAACCAAACAAAUACUCUCACAACAUAUAGGCAAAUGAAAUUGACCUGCCGCUUUAAUUUGAUCGGAUCAACGCUUUUAGUUGCCAGAGUUUCUGCACUUGAAAGAUUGGUGGCUUCUGAUCCAUUGGCUAGUAGAAGAUUCUCAGAAGCCUUUUGCUGGUGCAACAGCAGAAAAAACACACAUGAGAGAUACAAUAAUGAACAACCUACCAACCUGCCCACACAAACAACACACUGUUGUUCAGCACGUACGGUUCUGGCUACCGGCUGGCUAUCUCUGCCCAACCAAGGGUUCUCCCAGAUAGAGGAGGACGCAAACUCUCUUGCGGUGACUUUGAACAGCUUGAUCCUGCCGUGCUGGUCGGUGUAGGCAAUCGUCUUGUCAGCACUAUCAACAUCCUGCCAGCCAUUCACAAUGCACGCUCAGUAACCUGGCAAGACAAGCAAUACAGCGCAGUUGAGAGUAUCCUGGGCAUCCAAAUUCAGAUAAAAUUACCUGUGAAUUGGCACACCCACGGCAGUUCUUGGGACGCUCGCGCUCGCUGGCAAUCCAAAAUCGCAAGAUAACACCAAAGUUAGAACCUUUAGUCGCAUAUAGGAGUAAAGGGGCGCUGGCGAUGGUUCUUACCCCUGGUGACCGGAGAAGAGCCACUGGGACACCGCCGAUCUGGCGGAGGGCACAUGGAUCACGACCUACAGGGUAGAAGCGUCAGGGACAGUAAGAAAGGAAGAAGCCCUAAUUCUGGGGGUCCACGGCGAUGAACCUAACAUUUCGGCGUUGCAGUGAACAGUAAGGGGCGAGUGGCAAUGGCACGGGAACCGACCAACCUGGAAGGAGAUGAAGCAGAGGAAGACGAAGAGGAGGGCGAGGAGGCCCGGGCGCCGCCGCAGGGAGAAGGGGGUUCUGGGAUACGCUGCCGCAGCCGCCGAGGAGGCGGCGGCGGCGGAUGACGCCAUGGACGGGGAGUGGAGUGAUGGCCUGAUGGGGAUGUGAAUUUUGUUUUCCUCUUUUUUUUUUACCAUUAUUAAGGAAGGUGGAUUUUGGGGGACGAGAGCUGGGUGCAGGUAGCAGGAGGAAUGCCGAAUCGUUUCGUUUUCUUUUAUUUUCUUGCCACAGUGGGAAUGAAAGGCACAUUUGUCGGGGCUACUGUUUUCUGGCCUAAAAAUUGCCACAUUUUCACUUCUGCCAAACCAGUGAUGAUGAGUAACUAACUGCACAUCUCUAUAUUUUUUCAAACCUCUGUACUCCAAUGGCAGGGGAGGGUGUGGGACAGGAGAAGCGUGGUGACCUCAAGAAGAAUGACUAGCAGAGCAAGAAGAUAAUCCGAGGUAGAAGACGAAGCAUUGUAUGUUUGGAUCGGCGAUAGAUAGUUCUUGUGUUAUCGACUGAAAACCACAUGAUAUUGAUAUCAACUCCUUAUCUUUCUUUCUUCCAAGUGUUUGUGCACUCAGAGCCAACACUUGGAAGUUUGAAGUUGCACAAAAACUAGUGCUUGGAAGUCUGUACACUCAGAUUAUUGAUCCUAGAGAGAAAUAACAUGAUCUUUCUUGCAACUCAUGUAUUCUGGUGCAGGCAUGGUCAGAUGCUAGUAAUUUGCAAGGAUCAAAAAGUGAGACAAUGGUCAAGUACUCACUCACUCGGGGCAUGCCUAACGUUGUUAGUUAAACACGGGAUCAAGAUACAUAAUCCACAUGCGUAGCCAAUGAGCUUGCUUAGCAGAGAUGGACUUGAUAAGCACCCCCUUUUGCCGACUGAUGACAUGCGCAGGUAGGCUUAGUUCCAACCAAGUUACAGCUUUUGACCAUCCAGUGGGGAAUGCAGAAUUGGAGGCCUAAACCGGGGCAUCAAAUCCUUAAGUGCCUCGAAAUCAUUUAUAAAUCCCCCAUUACCACCAAAAGUUAUUGCUUGUUAGUCUCUAAAGCAUUCUAGACUGUCUUUGUUAGUGGACAUCCCACUAGAAACGUCGAAAAGGAAUGCAAAAGAGAGCCACAUUGCUUUGGACUAUCACAUUGUUAGUUUAUUAAACUAUCUACAGCCAGGAGUAGUAAUCUGUAAGAGCGAGCAAGAAUCCAACAUCACUUUCGGUCUCAACAUUUUCAGCAGCUAGAUUUUUUUUCCCUAAUAACAAGAUUCCUAAAAUCUUUCUGGUGAUGAUUUGAGUGUUUGCUUUUCUUCACAUUUGACCAUAGAAAUUCAGCACUUGUACAGAACCAUGACUGACAACGAAAAAAGGAUGUGAAUGAUGGUGACUGGAUGCUAUUGUAAGUGCAAUCUGAUGCGAUUCAACUCAGACAAGACUUUCAGUGGGAAAAUGGUUGAAUUUAUGCAUAUGCCAGCUGCCAAGUCAUCGAACGUGCGUAUUCUCUGUACCUAAACUAUUACAUUGAUCAUCAUGAUCGGCACAAACUUCGUCAUGACAACAAAAAAUGCAGUCUACCUUUACAACAAUCUCCACAUCAGAAUCAGUUCAUCCUAUGUGUCUACCUGCCCCUGGAGUUGUUCCUAGAGCUGCCGCUGUCACUCCUGGGUGAGUACCCCUGGCCGCGACGCGUGAGCGAGGAGCCACUGUGCCUGGGCUCCCUCCUCACCCUGCUCUUCAUCGACUCGAUCUGCUCCAGCACCUCCACAACUUCUUUCAUGGAUGGCCGGCUCUUCGGGUCACCGUUCAGGCACUUGAGGGUCAGCUGGGCAGCGAGGAGGGCUCCUUUGGAACUGUACUGUCCCUCCAGCCCGCUGUCCAUCACUUGGCUGAGCUUCCUCCGGUCAGCCAGCAAUGGCUUUGCCCAGUUCACCAGGUUCACCUUCUCGUUCUGUCGGCUUGGGUCCAGUGCCCUUAGACCAGAGAUCAUCUCCAGCAGUACAACACCAAAGCCAUACACGUCACUCUUCACAUACAGAUGGCCUAGUUCAUGAAAGAUGCAAAUCAGUUAACAUUUAGCUAGCACUGUGAAAAGAUAAGGGAUAAAAUGGUAGACAUAUACUGUAUAUGAUAGACACAGAAACCCUGACAACAGACAUACCGGUAGAAACAUAUUCUGGAGCUGCAUACCCAUAGGUUCCCAUGACUCUUGUUGUCACAUGAGACUCCUCGCCAUCUGGACCGUGUUUGGCCAACCCGAAAUCUGAAAGCUUUGCGUUGAAGUGCUGAACAUGGCAUUGUUGGAGUAGGCUGGUUAGAGCAUUGUUCAGGUAACAACAGCUGGUUAGUAGUAGCUCUGGAAAUUAGGAGUAUUUACCGAAUCUAGUAAGAUGUUUGAAGCCUUGAAGUCCCUGUAGAUGAUUUGCCUUUCUGAUGAAUGAAGAAAAGCAAGGCCACGAGCUGCACCGAUGAGAAUCUUCAGCCUGAGGCUCCAAGGCAGAGGCUCGUAAACCGCCCCUCCUGGCAAUGGUGGAUAUUCAGUACUAGUAAAUAGGAUGUUUCAUCCAAAAAAAAAAAAAGGAAUCCCUGGAUGGCCCGAAAUAGUUGAAGGUAAAAUACAAGUGGCGCCAACUUUUCAUCUUGAAUUUCCAAGUUGACUCGACAAGAAUGAUUGAAGGCUGAAGCAACAAGAUAUCGUACAGGUCUGGACAAUUUGCUUGACGCUGACAUCCUCCAAAAUGCUAGUUAGUUGUGCAGCACUAUGGACUAUGGUGCUUGAUAUAUGAUAUUUUAUGAAAUAUGAUUCAUAGAUGCAGAUAAAGCACCAACAUUUGCAUAGUGCGCUACUGCACACGAAGUUGGCAUAAAGAGUGUGGAACAGAGUGACAUAAAGAGAAUUAUUUAUUGAUCGUACUAUAAUUAUGAAAAGAUCUGCUAAAAUACUCACUUCGAAACAGGUGGUUCUCCAAGCUCCCCUUUGCCAUGAACUCGUACACGAGUAGUAGCUCGUUGUCGUCCAUGCAGUAGCCCAAGAGUUUAACGAGAUUGGGAUGUGAAAUCCUCCCAAGGAAAUUGACUUCAGACUGCAAUGGAAACAAGCAAUAAUUAUUUUUGACAGACGAGCUAGAAGUACAUUUCAGAUAGUAGGAAGCCAUGACCUAAAUCAGAAAUUCUUCUGUCGAUAAGACUAUAAGCAGAAACAAAAGAGGAAUAAAAAGUACAAAAUAAUUAGUGAGAGUACAGGAGCAUGCACUAAGGCCUAGCAACUAGAGCAUUCUGAUAAGUAUAAAAAAAAUAGAGCAUUCUAAUUGUAAGUAGAAGAGGGGAAAAUACCGGGGUCCUUUAUACAAAGAAAAAUAAUCAGAGUAACAGGAAUACUUCAGGUUCAUUCUCCAAAAAAAGCAGACAAUUGUAUGAGUUAACAACGCACAGAGAAAGAAAAUCAGUGAAAGAUAGAAACAAAUUGAAAAGGCAAGCAAGCUGCAGUUUUUCCUCAAACAUUAAAAUGACAUGAGCUAUCCACUGAUUUUUCUUUUGAUGAUUUUUAAAUAACUACUGAACUAUUUUUGUAAGCAUUCACUGAAUCAUUUCCCUGAUAACCCAACCCAAAACUACCUCAGAGUUGCAUUUAUUUUUUUCUAAAGCAUGCAAUUAAUAAUGUAACAAAGCCAGCAACUUGACGACUUUAGUACCUGCCAUUGCUCCAUUCCCUGCACGCUCUCAGGAUUGAGCUUCUUGACAGCAACCACCAUGCCAAUGCUACUCCUGGACGGGUUCAAGGUCUUCUCAUCGACCCAGCCCUUGUAAACCUUUCCGAAUCCGCCCUCCCCAAGCACUGUCUCAGGCCUGAAGCUCCUGGUGGCACUCUUGAGUUCGGCGAAGGUGUAUAUUUUGAGAUCUGGAGACUCAAGAAUCUGGCCAUCUGGAUAAUCAUCAUCGACGCUAACACCACUAAUUGUGGAUGGCAUGAAGGUGCUGGUACUCAGUGUUGACAGCUUCCCAGUGGUGGCAGAGCUACUAGUCCUCCUCGAUGCAGACAUUCCUGCACUUGCGAUAGACUAUGUGAGGUCUUGCGUUAAUAAAUGGAUAGAAAACGAGAAGUUUCAAGUGCGUGCAAAUUUACCAUGUAUAGCACUAAAAUGAUUUAGAUGUAAGACGCUGUGUUUGCUUACUGGGAUUAAGAUACCAGGUUAUAAGGCGAAUUUUACCAUUCGGGUAAAAAGAAGUAAUAUUCUCCCGGUUUGUACUAACAACAUAUACAUGGUGCAAGGGUUCUCUAUGGCCCGGACAAACAUUUUGUAAGGGGGGAAAAAGAAGAAGUGGUGCUUUAUUCUACAGAAGAAAAGUCAGCACAAGUGGCAGAAACCAACAAAUUUAGUUGCAAGAGCAAGAAUUUAGUUGAUGCAUCAAAUCGGCCAAAUAUAUUGAGAAAGUGCGCUGUAGGCUUGAGUAGCAUGAUUAUUCGUAGGAGGUUUGUUACAAUAUAGAGCAGAAAUUUGUGAAUAAAAGAAGACAACUUUAUGUUAUAAUACGCAAUCAGGCAAGUAAAGGCAUGCAAAGUUUCAGUUUUGAAAGCAUAAUGAAUCAAAUAGGUGGGCAGCUCUGCGCACAGGAAAUUCUUAUCCACAUGAUGGAAUUAGCAACACACUGGUAAGGGGCGAGUAAAAAAGAUACGCUUUGUUGCAGCAUCAGCGAGUGGUCAUGAUCAUUCUGAAUCCAGAACUGAAGUUAAAAGCGAGAAUAACUGAAUUUACCAAACAAUUGAACAAUUCACCGAUUGCAUUUCAAGGGGAGAGGAAGUGGCCUCAUCAGGAGGCCAAAGAUUGAAGUUUAGAGAGAGAGAGAGAGAGAGAAAUGGCGCGCGCUCGGCUUGUUGGUGGUUGUCACUUACCAGGAGCAGCGGACGGCGACGACCUGGUGCCGCGCUGGACGAAGGAAUUGAUGGCGCUGGCGCAGUUCCCCAUGGAUACUGCAGGCAGGGCGCCCUCGCUCCCCUUCCGCCGACGGAUUCUUCCUCUGCUGUGGUUGUUGCAGAUGGCCGAUGAAGAAGAUGGAUAAGGGCCUGGGCUCGGCCUCUAGUGGUGGUUGCAGAACCAAGGGAGGUUUGCAACUGCAGCAGAGGCAAGAAGGGACGGGGAAGGGAGGGAGGGAGGGAACCGACUGCAACUGCAACCGCGGUGGAAGGGGCGAGGAAGUUAUUACGUCGACUGCGAGUCUCGCUCACUGCAAACCACUGAAAAGAAAAAAAGAAAAAAGAAAAAUCCAUGCAUUUUUUUUCUUUGUGUUCUGCCAAACACAAGACAAGCAAAAGCGCACGCACGCUUUAAAUAAACUUGACCAGUGAUGAGUCCACGGUUGUCUAGUCGACGUGUACAUAUGUCAGUGCUGCUGCUGCUGCUGCUGCUUCUUCUUGAGUACACACACUAGCGCGUAGCAGUAGGUUGUUGAAUUGCAUGAGAACGAAAAAGGUGAUUGGCAAUAGCUUGUGGCAAAAGUGGUUGCAACGCAUGCCAAGCUCUCACCAUGGAUCAAACCCUAGAUUUAAUAUCUAAUGCCUCGUUAAUGUGGAUAGUAUAGUUUAAUAAUAGAUGAUAGGCUCCAUUCGUCAUUCUCAAAAUUUGUGGGUCUAUUCUCCUGUAGGCUUAUAUAGGGAUAGGAUGUAAGAUGUACAAAGAGUGCUCGUUUAGCUUUCAAAUUUUGUCCUACAAAGAAUGUUCAUUUAGCUUCCAGUGAGACUCAUCUUAUUAAAGCAGCACAAACCAAUAAAAAAGUCUAUUAAGAAGUGCACAAAGCUGAUGAUCAAUGGAUACUUUUUAGACAGUGAAAAAUUAGCCCUUGGUGAUUCAAACAGGGGGCCUAAAGGCGGGCUAAAAAUUAGCCAAACCACAAACUAAACUUUAGUUCAUUAACCCUCCAAACCCAGCUAUUGGGGGUUAAUUUUAGACAUGAAUGGUAAAAGAACAAAAUAUCCUCCCACCAAAAACAUUAUCCUUUCUUCUCCCGAACCCUAGGAGUAGAAUUGUAUUUUAUCAAUAAAUUGGCUAAAAAUUAGUUCGGGCCUAAUUUAAGCUUGCUAAAGUUUAGAUGUCUAAACUUUAGUUGCAGUCCAUCCAAAUAGGUUUGAGUAAGGCAGAUAGGUCUACUCUGUACUCCCUCCUCAAAAUGUAAGGUAUGAUCUCACCCAGUUCGAUCUUAAACGAGAUGCUUUGACCUAUCCAAACUUGUAUAGUAUAACCUAUAGAUCCAAAGACUAAGUAUCAGUUAAAGAUUAAAAAAUUUGAAUAUUGAUUUGCAUGCGUGGACCUUCAAAAAUAAGGGGAUGAGUGAUAGUAUGCUACUUUUCAUGUACCCCUAGCUAUGUCCAAAAAAAUGCAAUAAUCCUAGAAAAUUUGAACUUGAGACUUCUGUACCAUACUGAGUUGCAUGCACCAACCAAUUUAAGAAAAAACUUAAGCUAAUAGAAAGAGCUGGGACAACUCCAACACUCACCAUUAUUUGUUCUAGCAAACAGCUAUAUAUUCUACAGGUUAGAUUCAGAGAAUGUGAAAAUGUGUCUCAACUAAGUCAAUACCUCUCUGAGAUAUAUGUGUGGAUGAUAGAUUUUCAGCUUUGGAUUGAGAGAGACAGAGACACAAGACCUUGAGGUUACUGUCAACUACCACUACUGGGGAAAGGGCUUUAGUACCGGUUCUUAACCCCCCUUUAGUACCGGUUGUGCAACCGGUAUUGCUACUUUGAUACUAAAGGGGGGACUUUAAUACCGGAUCAAAUAAGCAGUACUAAAGGGGUAUUUAAAAUUUUAAAAAAAAAAUCCCGCCGCCAGCCCCCGCCCUCCCGCCCCCGCCGCCCCGCUACCGCCCUCCCGCGGCCCCCGCCUCGCCGGUCCUGCCCCCGCCUCUCGCCCCACCGCCAUCCGCCGCCUGCGUGCGCUGCACCUCGCCUCCCCUAGCCUGAGAAGUGUGAGAAAGUGUGAGAGAAAGAGAUAAGGUACCCGUGAGAGAGAAGAGAGAAGAGAUAAGGGGGAGAGGAAAGAUGCGAGGAGAAUUAAAGGUACUCGUGACCCCUUUAGUACUGGGUGGGAGCUCCACCCGGUACUAAAGGCCCUCAGGCACGUUAGUACCGGGUGGAGCCUCCACCUGGUACUAAUGGAUGACCUUUAGUACUGGGUGGAGCACCCACCCCGCACGAAAGGGGGUCACUGGGAGCUCCUUGGGGACUAACCGUUAGACCCGGUACUAAUGUCCAAUCGGUACUGAGGGCUAGGACCAAUGCUCAAUUCUCCACACUCCGAAGAACACAAAAGAACGCAUUCUGAAAUUGCAAAAUGUAUGAAGUUUUGAGAGAUGAAGGUUCAACCUCUUGAUUCGAGUGGACAUGUCGUCAAUAGUCCAAAAGAACAACAACGGGGGCCUUGAUUUGCCACAGCAGUUGGACGCCACAUGUCAGUAUUUUAUUAUGCUAUGUGUCGGUAUUACGCGAUCCAAACCCUGCAACCACUACACCACUUCUCUAUUGGUUAUCAACCGUGCUAAAAGCACAAUUGAUCUUGCCAAAAAAAGCUAUGCCAGCAUGUGAAUCAUCGAAGAAGUACAAUGAAUGGGCCUGUUCGCUUCAGCUUAUUCAGCCGGCUUAUCAGCCACCAAACAGUGUUUUUCUCUCACAACAAAUCAGCCGUUUCAGCUUUUCAGUCGGCUUAUAAGCUGAAGCGAACAGGCUCAAUAUUGUCUUCUUUCAUGGUGGAAAGCUAGAACUAAGAAAAACCCUAAGUCUAAAAGUGACGAUAUCAAGGUAUAUAAAUGAAGGGCAAUGGUCAAGGGGGUGCAGUGGACGUGUGCAAACCCUUGGAUGUGCUCCUGGUGCUAGGGUCACACAAUACCUAGUCUUAGGCCGUUCCCAUGAAUUACAAGGCCGGUGGCCCGAUAAAAGGUGAUGCAGGCAUCCGGUAGAAUUAAGCAGGUUGAUGCGAUAAUUUAAGGCCUUCCCAACAUAUUAUUGAGGUCAAAACCAGAUCCAGUAGCCAUCAAGUUCUCAUGGUUCUCAAUCGGACUCCACAUGAAAGGGUUAUAGACUCCAGUAUAGCAUUGUGGGGUGGAUGCCGAACUGAGUUGUGGAGGGCUUGUACUCCAAGUUGUGCCUUGUGUAUGGAAUACCCACAUCCCAUAUGUUUUUUUUUAACGGAACAACAAGAGGAUUGCCGUAAUUUUUAUUAGAAGAACAAAAAAAAAGAAAAAUAGUAACAACCAGGAAAAUAUAAGCAACAACUCCACCGACUUCCCAGCCACUCAACGGGCGCCACUACCGGGGGGAAAAAAAACAAAACGACCGAGACGACUAAACAUGAGAAAUUAAGUGACUACUCCGGCGUUGCUUGAGGCCAUUGAGAACAUCUUUUCAUUGAGUGGGUCCUCCUCAUGUUAUCUUCUAAUUAAACAUAAUUGUAUGACCAAUAUUAGGUAGUGGCGUGCCCUCAAUUAUUUCAUCAUGCAAAUAUAAGAGCAGAUUCACCUUAUAUUCAGCUUGAAUGGUAGUGUCAAGGAUGUCGAUAUAGGGUGUGUUUGGUUGGGCUGUGGCUUUUAAAAACGCUGCUGUGAACUGUGAGCUGUAGAAAAGCAGCUAUGAGAAAGUAGUUGUGGGAAAAGGAAAAAAUGAUUGAUGUGUUAAACAUCAUAUUAUUGCAAAACUAAUAAGAAGUAACCUGAUCAGAACAUUUACACCUGAUAUAACUAACAAUCCAAUCUGCAAUGGCAAUGGCAAACGGAAAAGGGCGUACAUGCAUCUGCAGAAAGUGCUAAGUAUAUAUCAAUAGCAGAGAACAUCUGCUGGAUCAUCAGUUUCUCAGAGUUCAUCGUGACACAGGCAUGAACACAAUGAACGCGUAAGAACACAGAACAGGUGUUGUAUGGCAAUCGAUCAAAUCGCGAGUCCAACACAACUGAGAGGCCUCUUCUCGUUGACACCACCUAACGCACCGACCAGUGGGCGGUGAUGGCAAGCGCGGCGCUGACCCCUGCGAGAUCAGCCGCGGCCUUGAGGCCGGCGUGGAGGGCGAUGAAGCGCUCAACGUCGAGUAAGCCGUCCAUGCCCGGAAUAGUCGGGACGUCGUGCACGUCGUUGGCCGUCCGCAGGUGGACGCAGCAUGUCUCCACGCAGCGGCACGCCUCCUCGGCGCAAGCCCUGGCGCUGUGGAACAGGCUUAGAGCAAGCGAACGUGCUGGACGGAGAGCAGCGGGAGCAUUGGGUUGGCCGAGGCGCCGUAGAGCGCCAAGAGCUCGGCUGCCUUCAUCGAGGACGCGGCCGUCCGGGGGCGGGGUGCCGCGGGCGGUGAGCAGCGGAUGGCAGGCCGGCGGCCGGCGACCGGGGGCGGCGGGCGACGGGCCACCGAGGACGGCGCGCGAAGGAGGCUACGGUUGUGCGGGGAGGAGCGGACGGUGUCGGGAGAAACAGAACUGGGAGAAAAAAGAACGGUUACCUUGGUAGCAGCUGGUAAUUUUUUAUCUCAAAAGCACUUCAAAGCAGGUGAAUUUACUUUUGGUUUUGUACUAGAACAAAAAUAGUUUUUAGCAAAAGCACGUAGAACUUUUAAACUCUUUGGUUAGCUUUUAACUUUUGCAAAAGCAAAAAUAGGUUGAAAAGUCCAACUAAAAGCACCCAUAAUGCCUUAUCAAUAUAUAUAUAGAACUACGAUGUGUUGCUUUAAACAUCAGAGUACUUGCAUAAUAUUGAUCACCACAUGAUGCUCAAGUUUUUGUUUGGUUAUAUAUGAUGCAUAUAUUAAAUUAAAUAACUACGUGUGUCUGUAUUGCUUGCUUAAUGCACAUGCAUGCCAUGUCCACGCAUGCAUGCAUGACUGGUUGGCGCUGACCUUGGGGCCUGUGCGAUGGAUAUACAUAUCCAGAUCGGACAUACCGUAUUGGAUGCUAAGCUGGUCUCAAUGUCUCAUUGUAUAUAUAUUAUUCUCAAGUAGCAAUAUAAUGCACGCGAUUCUUUUGCUUCGUAUAUCCGCAAAUUCAACUAAACAAUAAAGCAAUAAUAAUGCUACUUGCAUUAGUAAACUAUAGGCAGCUAUUAGCAGAUGAGUAAUGCCCAUCAUCCACUACUGCGAACACACACAUAUAUGCAUUGCAUGUCAGGACAAAUUAAAUAAAAGAUGUGCUACUUGUAGCUUAAUUAGGGAGCACGUACGAAUCCUCUACCAAGGAGUCAGCUCUGGAAAAACUUUGGCUGCAAGUCUAAUUUGCUUUUUCAUCUGUACAAGUUACGUACGUACUGUACAUAGUCAGCGUACGUACGUGAUGCAUGAGAUACAUUUUACUCUUGCUGCUUCACCACCACUCCUUUUUACAGCUCAGAGGCUAGCUAUAUAUACACACAUGUCCAUGCAUGGUGGACAGUAUAAAGAGCAGAGACCAGAGAGAGAUGAAUAAUAAAGAGCAGAGAGAGAUGAAGAAAGCAAAUCCCAUCCUGACGGCUCUGUCCGCGGCGACAUUCGGCUUCUUCAUUGGCAUUUCAUUUCCUCUACAGAUGGCACCACAGGUACGUACUAUAUGCGCGUAUACGGCGUGUAAUCGAUCGAUCUCUGUCAUACUAGCUAACGACCCACAGCAGUACAUGACCAUUGAUUGUUUGGACGACAUGUACAGCUUCCUUGCUAUGUGUUCCCUUGGAAUGGUGGUGGUGGUGGCGGUGAUGCCGCCAACUCCACCUUGAGGGCCACCAGCAUGCUAAGCAGAUUCUGGGUCGUCGGUAACAACAACAACAACAAUGCAGCAGCAGCAACCGAGGGGAAGACUGCUACUGCUCCCGCCGUCGUGCACCCAAAUGCCACUUCGCCAGCAAUCAUAAAGCCGACAGGCGCGGAGAGGCUCCCUCCCAACAUCGUAGUUUCAGAGUCCGAUCUCCACAUGCGCCGCCUCUGGGGAGACCCGCGGCAGGUAAUUCCUUCGUUCCGUUCCUGAUCUAUCUUGACAUCCUCCUCAGCAGCUCUCUUCAUUCUGAGCAUGCAAUGCAUGCAGGACACUCCCGUGCGCAAGUACCUCCUGACGAUGACAGUAGGGCUCAGUGAGAAAGCCAAUGUCAACGCCACAGUUCACAAGGUACGUACAUAGGGUUAUUAAGUGAGAAUCUCAUGCUGAUGACCAUGUUUCUAGCUGCUACUUUCUUUCAACUGUCCUAGUCUCAGAAGAACUCAAGUGAUCAUCCAUGAGCGAUGCUAUGUAGUUCUCGGAUGAGUUCGACGUGAUGCUUUUCCACUACGACGGCCGCACGACGGAGUGGGACGACGAGUUCGCGUGGUCCAAGGACGCCAUCCACGUGAGCGCCCGGAAGCAGGCCAAGUGGUGGUACGCCAAGCGCUUCCUCCACCCCAGCGUCGUGGCGCCCUACGACUACGUCUUCCUCUGGGACGAGGACCUCGCCGUCGACUUCUUCGACGCCACCGAGUACGUCCGCAUCGUCCGCGAGCACGGCCUCGAGAUCUCGCAGCCGGGGCUCGACAUCACCCGGGGCAAGAAGACCUACGACAUCACCACCCGGAGGAGCAACAACACUAGCGAGGUCCACAAGAACACCACCGGGGGCCCCGGGAACUGCCCCGACGUGCACCGCCGGCCAUGCAGCGGCUUCGUGGAGGUGAUGGCGCCCGUGUUCUCGAGGAAGGCGUGGGCGUGCGCGUGGCACAUGGUGCAGAACGACCUCAUCCACGGGUGGGGGCUGGACCUCAACUUCUGGAGGUGCGUCGACGACCCCGAGGAGCAGAUGGGGGUGGUGGACGCGCAGUACGUCGCGCACCGCGGCCUGCCCACGCUGGGGCGGCAGGGCAACCCGGAGACGGGCGGCGGCGGCAACGUCAGAGCGCGCGCGUGGCAAGAGUUCAGCGAAUUCAAAACCAGAAUCCGCGAUGCCGACAGGGCCGCCGAGGCCGAACGGCGCCGGGAAGCAGCAGCAGCCCUUCUUGUUGCGACGCCGCCGACGCCGUCGCCGCCCCGGUCAAAAUAAGCUCAUUUCAACUGACAUAGCAAUUAUAUUGCGCGCAAAUUAAAUCAGCAGGCAAAAUGUGUUCCUGGAUUAUCAAGUUUUCAGUUUAGCAUCUACCGACUCACCUCCCUUCUGGACACUUGAUGAUACUAAAUAUGAAAAAGAAAAUUAAAAACAAACGAUGAGAGCUCCCAACUCCGAUCAAAUAUAUAACCAUGCAUUUUGUUUGAGAAACCGGGUUUAUAUUUCACAUAAAGUUUACAUUGCAACUCUUACAAAGACACCCUUGAAGAAAAGAAAAUUACAACCUACUCCUUGCAAGAUCCUCCCAGUCGUCCUUGUCGCGGGUGGUCGGAGCAGCCACACGACGCACUCCCGUCGCACCAAAGGUUGGAGAGGAGACACUCCGAGUUUGCAGCUUGAAGCCGACCUCCUUCCCGAUGAUGGAAGUUCACAGUUUUUGAUUGUCUCCAAAAACGGCACAUCGACAUGCUCUAUAAUCGCUGAACGUCCUAGCUGAAGAAGAUGGCUGCCGGCCAUCACAUUGUCGGAAGACAAGGGAUCUAGCGCCUCAAGGACUACCAUCAACCCCGGCUCACCGGACGACGACACAACCCGAAGGGGAACAAAACCACCAAAACAGUUGGGAAACAAAAUCCAACUCGAUUUCUCGGUGCGUUGGUAGACGUACCUCCCAGGACUCCCGUCGGAAAGGCAUGCAUCGCCGCCGACGGAGAUGAGGAAGGGAGAAGAAGAAAACUCGACCAGAUCUGAAGCAAACCCUAGGUCUUCAGAUCCAAUGAGCUCACACCUCAAUCCAUAGACGCAGCGCCGCCUCCACACUACGAACGCCGCCUGGACCUAAACUACGUAGGACUAUAUACACACCAGCCACCUCAAUCCCCGUUCCCCAUCCUCUCCAGCACCGAACCGGCCGCUGAAGUGGAGGGGAAACGGAGAAAAUCGGCACCGGAAGCGUCGCCUGCUUUUCGCCAUCUCUCAACUGUAGCAGAGGAAGGAAUGAGAAGAAGCAGGAACAACUGGGAACCUCUCUGCUGGUAAGCUAUAUAUAACCAUGCAUGCCAUGGCGUCAUCGCCCAAGAGAAGGCCCAGCAGGCCGCUCUGCUUGCUCUCCCCGCUCGGAAAGAAGGCCCAGGCCGCACCAACUACCAAAAAAAAAU
rnacentral:lncRNA from 1 species